GUGUGUGGAUUGUGUUAAUCACAAAAGACAAUUGUCUUCACCUGUGUGUGGAUGGUGUUCAGUACCAAGGACAGUUGUGUUUAAUU
rnacentral:pre_miRNA from 1 species